UAGUUACUGAGCUACUAAAAUUGGUUUUUUUGUACCUAAAGAAAUCAGACCCCAGGAAAAAUCAUUUUAUGAGAAGGAAAGAUUGGGGACCAGGAGGAUGGGCUUGCUUAUCUCAGGAGUGCUGGGCUAGUAAUAUUACAAUAUAACCCUGCACCUUUCAAUAAAAAGCAUAUUGGCAAGUCUUGGAUCAGCACUAAAGCAAAUGGGAAUUUAAGGAAGGAUUUGAAGAGGGACAAUGGGAUAGUUUUCUGAAUGUUUACAAGCAACUAACCCCAAGAAGGAGAGACAACAUGAAAGCCGUACUUACUGAGUUUGACUCUUCAAGCAGCUUGAUGAUGCGAUUAAGAUCCAGAGACUGCAGCUGAAUAUCCUACAAAAAACAGAUAGUUCUUAAUUUCUUCUAGUAAUUAUACAUUUUAAAAUCUUAAAUUAAACAUGUUUAAUAUGAAGGGGAAAUUAUAAUCUCACUGAAAAUUUCUACUGAUGUUGUACAUAGUAAUUGAGGCCCAAAUCCAGAAAAGGGCUUAGGCACCUGAAUUGGGAGUUAGUAGGUGCCUAAAUCCAAGACUACAAUCCUGAAAAAGCCCCAUUGGUGGACCCCUUAGGCACCUAUGUUUUCAGUAGGAAGGCACCUUACCAAAAGGCAUCUAUAACAGAAGGACAUUGGCCACUGUUGUUCUCCUGAUUUACCUGCAGCAGGUUAGGGUGCUAUGCCUUGUGGUUGUGUAACAGGGCUUGAAGGCUCAGAUCAAGCAUAGUUUAUGCUUACUUAGGGGAAAUACUAGUACCAGUGUAGGUAAUGCAUACUUAACCUUGGCUUUAUGCUUACUUUAAAGAAAUGGGAAACUCCUCCCUAGCUUACUCCUGGGGCCUUGGGGCUAAGGGCAAGCGAAACUCAGGGGCAUCCGAACCCCAAUCCUCAAGGCUUAGGCCUGCAAGUAGGAUGCCUGCCAAAGGAUUUGGGAAUACCUGUUGCCCCAGGUGGGGGUGGAGGAUGCUUGCUGGUAGUCCAGAACCAUAAGUGGCUCUAAUAACUCAUGGAUUUGGAAUUGUUUUGACCAUUUUGGCUUGAAAUAUGGAAAAUUCAAACAAACAAACAAAAACAGGGCUGACUGUGUAGCUUUGCUAGCAGGUUAGAAAAAGAUUUGUGUAGGAUGGUUUGGAUAGGGAUGAUCCUGGUUCAGGCAGGUGGCUGGACUAGAAGACUUCCAGAGGCCCCCCCCCAGUCCUACUUUUCUAUGAUUCUAUUAUUCUAAAGGUCUGUUUCUGUGCAUACCUUGAAGUACGUCUAUGUUGGUAUGUAGGGUGUUUAUAGACAUGUUCCAGGGACUGGGGAUGGGGGAUGCUUUAAUUAGAGAGGCUCUGAGAUCCACUCUAAUUAAAGUGCCCGGAGCAUCAUGUGAAUCAGGGCCCCUGCACUGAAAAAUGGUAGUGGGGGCGCUUUAACUAAAGCUCAUUUGACAAGCUUUAGUUCAAGCACCCCCACCAUUUUUCAGCUUGUAGAUGCUGAUACACAUGAUGCUGGAGUCUGCUGAAGCAUGAUAAUUACCACGCUUCAGAAGACAUGAUUAAUCGAGUCUACUCAGAGCAGCCUCUCUGCACAUGUAUAGGUGCCCUAACCUCAUGCCUAUACUUGGUUGGAAUCCUUAAAUAGGCAUUCCUUUGCCUAUGUUCCUUGAGAGGUGGAAUAGGUAUACUCUGAAGAGUGAGAGCUAAUUUACAUGGAAAACACAGUGGCUCUGGUCACCUCUUUUAAACACACCUGCAGGAGGAAGAGCUUAUGAUGAUAAACCUUUUUUACACAAGAGUUCAGUAACUAGCUACAGUACUUCAGUGAUAGCUAAAAUAGUUCAGCAGAUGGGUUUCUUUGUGCUCCUUUGUUUUUUGCCACCUUCAAAAUCCACUUCCCACCUGCUAGGCCUGUAGAUGAGGGCACUCUCUAUCCUACUCCCCCUGCUGAAGCUAUGCCAAUGUGCAGCAAAAAAUUCAAGAUUCUUUAGGCCAAAGAGAAGGAGAAUGAUUAUCUAGCUUAAUGAUUAGUCACACUCCGGAAGAGAAUACUGGAUUCCAGUACUUCCUGUAAGGACUGUUUUUAUAUUUUGUACAAUGUAGAGUCCUAGGAGAGGACAGCAUGUUGGCUGUUGUGAACGCUAUUCUGAAGUGCCCAGGACAGGGCUGCAUAAUCUAUUCCUGGAACUGCAUGAUUUUAAAUGUCACAACAAAGUCCCUUUGUGGCUCUAACCACAAGUCUUUAGGGGUCUUGUAGAAUCAUAGUCUUAUUAUGCAAAAAUAGGGCUUUUCUCUAACAUGAUUUAGAUGGAGGUCCAGAUCUAUACAUCCCCUAAUUUACCACUUCCCCAGCUUAUCUAGAAAAGCUACACUUUUCUCUGUUAUUCAUUUGUAGCCUUCAUCAACAUCCCCUAGAUAAUUGGUUUUAUGGCUUCACAACUUGAUUCAUGUUUCCUGAAAUUAAUGGAAUCUUCCCAUGGAUUUUACUGGCCUUUGAAUUAAUUCCUUGGUGAGAAUAUCUGUAAUUAGUGUAGACAUUUUAAGUUUUCUACAGUACAUCUUCAGCCCUUUCAGACUUUAGCAACUAAAAAUGAAGACUGGGAUGGUGGCACUUCUAAAGGCCAAUGGAAGCACUGCACUAAUUACAGCUGAGCUGAGAAGUCAUUUCCUUUAUAAAGUUCAGAUUACAAGAGAAAUCUCUCAUGCUUCUACCGUUGAAUGUUUUUGGAACUUGUGGGUUUUCUAUUUUUGGCUGCUGUUGAGACUUCUGAUCACAAGACACUGACUUUAUAUUAAAUCAGUGUUUCUCAACCCAUGGGUUGCGAGAAUAUAUGAAAUGGUUGCAAACAAACUUUAAAAAUGGAGAAAAACAUGGGAAACCAUGGCUUUUCUCCUGCAGGCUGUCAGUUUGAGCCUGCAAGGGGCUGCUUGGGGCCACCCAUGCGUCACACACCCACCCCCUACCCCACACACUGGGGGGCUGGGGCAGUGGGUCGGGAGUGAGAGGCACUGGGUCGGGACUGGCCUUCAAUGUUUACAUAUGGGUCCUGGUAUAAAAAACAUUCAGAACCACUCUAUUAGAUAUGUUAGAGACUUCUGUACUGAUACUUGGAUAACUAAAAGUUGUUUUAAAUAAUACAGGUUUGGUCCUUAUUGGGGACAAAUGGAGUUGGCUUAAGCUUUUGUUUUGCCAUGACUGAACUUAAAUACAUUUAAAAUUAUCACACUACACAUUUACAAUGCUGAUCUAUCCCAUGUUAUAACAAGGAACUGUAAUACAGAACUUCAUAUUGGCCCAAGCAUGCCCAUGUAUAUGGAACAUCACUCAUUGAAAUAAAUACCUGCAAUUAUCUUAAGUACUUUAUUUUUGCGA